GGAAGAGUCCAGCAAAUUUGACAGGAAUGAAGAAAUACCGUCACUUUGUCCUAAACGCUCCUAGCUGCUCCGUCGAGUCCCGGGGAGAAACAAACAACCGAACCGACAGAGGCACAGAGCUGGUUGCUGACUCUAUGAUGAGUGGGCAGAGUGGCAGUUGCACAGUUCCCAGUGGGUGCGGUGCUCGGCGCAGCUCACUCCACGCAUGCUAUGGCCCAUCUCUAUCUCUUCUCUUCUCUACAGCUUCUCGUGGUCGCGGAGGAGGAGGACGAACUCGAUCUCCUCGGGCUGCCGUCCGCGAGGAAGGACGACCUCGAUCUCCUCCGGACGCCGCCUACGCCACCACGAACACGCCGGUGCCGUCCGCGAGGGAGGACGACCUCGAUGCGGCGACGACAACCAAACAGGUCCCCCCAUCCUCGCAGCAUCGCCCCGCCCUCCGACCCAAGGAUCCUCUACCGCGCUCCCCUAGGCACAAAGCCUCCACGCUCGGCGGAUCUGCGCAGGCGGCGAUUGGGUCUUCCUCGACGCGCGCUGGAUCUUCGUUACCCCAGGCCAGCGCAGUUCCAGGGCAGAGAGCUUGGACAACCAAGCCUCUGAUCGGAUCGACUCCGGCAGGGGAGGAGCAGCGGUGGCGGUGGCGGAAGCACGGGCGGCGUACGAGGACAUGACCUGAGCUCUUGUGUGUCGCUGCUCACCGUCGUCCUCGCCGCUCCCUGCGACGUCGUCGUCAUGCGCACGACAAGCCUCAGAUCGACGAAGAAACAGCCGCCGUCUUGCGCCUAACGCUCACCACCGCGUGGGAAGGAAGCUCUUGAUGGAUGAUAGAUUGGGAGAUGUAGCCAAAGGAGGACAAAAAGGACUACUACUGCUAGCUGAACUUGCACAGCAUGCUGGUGCUAUUGGAGAAAUGGGCAACUUGUAUACUGAACGGUAUUUGCAAAAAGCUGAAUAUAGGGAAACGUCAGAAACUGGAAUUCAAUGGGUGAUGAGGUGUAUGUCACGUCCGAGGUAUUUUUAUAAGAUGUUUCAGAUGAGCACUGAGAUUUUUGAGAAACUUCAUGACUUGCUGGUCUCUACCUACGGAUUGACAUCAAGCAAGAAUGUUUCAUCUACUGAGUCAUUGGCAAUAUUCUUGUGGAUCGUCAGAGGACCACAAUCUUUUUCACAAGCUAAAAAUCAUUUCACACGGUCACUUUGGACAGUUCACAUGAAGUUUCACGAAGUGUUGAAGUGUUUGCGUAAGUUAGAUAAGGACAUUAAGCCGAGAGAUCCUACUUUUUCUAUGGAGCAUGAAAGGGUGAGAGAGGACCGUUUUUGGCCAUACUUAAAGACGCAAUUGGAGCAAUAGAUGGUUCACACGUUAAAGUGGUAGUGCCAGUGGACGAAGUGGUUAACCACACAUGCCAUCAUGGAUAUACAUCUCAAAAUAUGCUAGCUAUUUGUGACUUUGACAUGAGGUUUACCUUUGCGGUUGCCGGGUGGCCGGGUUCUGCACAUGACACACGUAUCCUCAAUCAUGCAUUGGAAAAUAUUAUCUUGUGGACUCGGGUUACCCAAACCGAAUUGGGUAUCUUGCGCCUUUCAAAGGAAGCACGUACCAUAUACCAGAAUUUCGGCAACGUUCAGGGCCUCCUCAAGGAAAGUACGAGAUGUUCAAUUUCUUGCAUUCAUCUCUUCGUAAUGUCAUUAAAAGGUCUUUUGGAGUCUUAAAGCAGAAGUGGCGUAUUUUGAAGGGCAUGCCACGUUUCUCACCUCGUACUCAGAAGCAUAUAAUUAUGGCUUGUCUUGCAUUGCAUAAUUUUAUCCGUGAUAGCAAUUUGUGUGAUAAGGAGUUCAAGAGAUAUGAUGAUGAGGAGGAGUACUUGGUACAACAUACAAGUGGCACGAGACAAACACAAGGAGAUGAGAGUGACGAUGUGGAGAAUGAGGAUACCAUGAAUACCAUUUGUACUAGAAUAGCUGAUGCUUUGGUUAGUGUGAGAGGAGGACAAUAAUGUUGAGGGAUGGCAUUAUUGUAUAAAAGUUUUGAUGGAUAUUGUUCUAUUUAUGUGGACCAAUCACUUUAAUGGAUGAAGAACAUAUAAAAUUUAUUUUUUUCCUUUCUAAAAUAGUUAUUUACAUGUGAAUUAGUAAACACAUUAUUUUAUUACGAGCAAUUUGCCUAUAAACACACCCACAGACCUUUAGGGGUAUUACAGGUAUUUCUUACACAGCUUACAGUUUCACAGCUCCUGUCUUCUGCUUUUCCCACAGCUGCUUUCUCACAGUUGCUUUUCCACAGCUCACAGCAGCUUUUUCAAAAGCCACAGCCUAACCAAACGCACCCUAAUAUUUUUCUACCUUUAGAUUUCUCAAUACUGCAUAUAGAAUAUCAUGGUUAUUAGAGGGUUACAUGGUGGUUGUUGAGAUUGAGACAUCAAAAGUAUACCUUUUUAAAUAUGCCAAUAAGUCAAUUAUGGACUACGCAUAUACUGAUGAAAUUGGAAUCAUAGAGGUUGAAAAAAAAUGCUAUCUCCUCCGUGUUAAUUUAACAAGCUCUUGUGUUAACACAAGUAGGAUUAGCUAGAUGUGUGCAAUGGGCUAAUUCCCAGCUGAUCUAUCUAAUUAACUGAAACACUGAUAACCUCCUCUUGCAUUUCAAGUUUAAAUUAUCAUUUUUCUACUGCAAUGAUGAGUGGUAGUCUUGCAUAUCAGUUGUCAGAAAACCUGCUGUAAGAGUGCCUGUAAAACAAUUCAGACUUCAUUUUUUAUCAUUGAUAGUCUAAUACUGCAUGUUGGCUUUGAUUACCAGUCGCUAGUCUGUUUUCAUGAGAUUACCUUCAAUCUACAAGAGCAUGUCACUACCUGGAAACUACAAGGCACUGCAAGGAAUGUGUAGGUGCAUCUUACCUUUGCAUUCUUAAAAUUUUAGCAAGAAUCAGGACAAGUAGGGCUCAGUAACUAUAAACAUCCCAAUAAUUAACAAGCUGUGUGCUGUUUGUGGCCUCUCUUCGCUGUAGACACUGACCAAGCUGAAAAGGUAGAUAGCCAUCACUACUGCAGGUAAGCAUCUGCGUUUCAAAUAUACCCUGCUAUUUCGCGUAGGAAUAGAUAUGACCAGAAUGCAAAUUGAAAAAUGGAGUGUACUGCUUGAUGCAGCUAGAAUUAUAAUGUUGUUUAGGUAGGUGUCUUUUCAUCUUGACUCUCCAUGGUUCUCUCAGGAAAGCAUGAGCAUGAGAAAAAUAGGUGGAUAUUAAAAAGCUGGUAGGUGACUGACAUUUUAGGGUUCAAUCGCUAUCUAUAUGUGUUUAGAAGUUUUGUUUAUCAUUUAAAAACUUUCAUUGAAGUUUAAAUUGGAUUACUGCCACAUAUGAUGAAUAGCUUUGACAGCUUUGCUCUUUUCGUGUGGAAGGGAUCAAAUGGCAGAGGACACUUUGUUUUUUGUAACAAAUCUUGCUCCAUGUUCUGGAUUAAGGAUUCACUUGUGGCCAGAAAAGCAUCAUUUACCUGUGGAAAAUGAACUACCUGCCAGUAAAAAGAUAUAUUGGAAGUUACGUCGAAGAUGGUCCAAAUUCCUGCAGGACCUGCUCCAAAACAGGUCUUUUUUGCAAUGGCACACUCGGAUUCGCAAACUUAUCUUCCAACAUCGAGCGGCACAUCAGGUUCUGGCUCGGUUGCCGGUGAGUCCGGGUAAUGUCGUACUGUACAUUAUUGCUGGGUUUGUAGUUUUGUUUUAGAUAGUUCGUGAUCCGGUUGUUGGUUGCCAGUUCUUCUGUUUCCUCUUUCUCUCCCAUUCUACAAUUGUAUCCAAUCCAAAUGCAAGUGAUUUUUGACCGAUCUCUUUAUUGAUCAUUUUUUUUACAUGCUCCACUUUAAUCACUAUUUACGAUCCUGUGUUAUUGCUUCUCAUGAGUCAGGCCUAAGCUAGAUGGUUGCAACGUGUUGAUAUGAAAAAUAGGUGGACAGAGACAGACAAUACUUAGGAUGGUAAACAUCUGGAAGAGGGGCGCAUGGGAUGCUGCCAUGCUGCUGGUGUUCGUACUUUUCAAUGGCAGUUGCCUGCACUGCUGCAUCCCUACACUCAACAUACCUAGUGCUAGCAACCCUUCGACAAACUCCUCCCUAACAGGUGUUUGAGCAUUGCACAUCUAAUUGGAAGUUGGGGCAGCUGUAUUGCUGUGCACAAGCUUCAUCGUCGACCACUCUAGUGGCAGGUUCUGAUGGCCACCAAUGGAAAUUGACUUGUUCAUUGUUGGCUUGAGAAGACAACUGUUUUUUAUAUACAAUGAUUUGUGCAUGAUUGUCCAUAUGAAAAUUAAUGCUUAUUGGAGAUAAUUUA